AAACUCAAAGGAAUUGACGGGGACCCGCACAAGCGGUGGAUGAUGUGGAUUAAUUCGAUGCAACGCGAAAAACCUUACCUACCCUUGACAUGUCCAGAAUCCUGCAGAGAUGCGGGAGUGCCCGAAAGGGAAUUGGAACACAGGUGCUGCAUGGCUGUCGUCAGCUCGUGUCGUGAGAUGUUGGGUUAAGUCCCGCAACGAGCGCAACCCUUAUCAUUAGUUGCUACGCAAGGGCACUCUAAUGAGACUGCCGGUGACAAACCGGAGGAAGGUGGGGAUGACGUCAAGUCCUCAUGGCCCUUAUGGGCAGGGCUUCACACGUCAUACAAUGGUCGGUACAGAGGGUUGCCAAGCCGCGAGGUGGAGCCAAUCCCAGAAAGCCGAUCGUAGUCCGGAUUGUUCUCUGCAACUCGAGAGCAUGAAGUCGGAAUCGCUAGUAAUCGCGGAUCAGCAUGUCGCGGUGAAUACGUUCCCGGGUCUUGUACACACCGCCCGUAAGGGC
rnacentral:rRNA from 1 species